rnacentral:rRNA from 1 species
CUACGGGGGGCUGCAGCGGGGAAUAUUGGGCAAUGGGCGCAAGCCUGACCCAGCAACGCCGCGUGAGGGAAGAAGGUUUUCGGAUUGUAAACCUCUGUCCUUGGGGACGAAGAAGUGACGGUACCCAAGGAGGAAGCUCCGGCUAACUACGUGCCAGCAGCCGCGGUAAUACGUAGGGAGCAAGCGUUGUCCGGAAUUACUGGGCGUAAAGGGUGCGUAGGCGGCAUAUUAAGUCAGGUGUGAAAUACUCGGGCUCAACCCGGGGGCUGCAUUUGAAACUGAUAUGAUUGAGUGUGAGAGAGGAAAGUGGAAUUCCUAGGGUAGCGGUGGAAUGCGUAGAUAUUAGGAGGAACACCAGUGGCGAAGGCGACUUUCUGGCUCAUAACUGACGCUGAGGCACGAAAGCGUGGGGAGCAAACAGGAUUAGAUACCCGAGUAGUC